rnacentral:tRNA from 1 species
AUUCUUAUGGCAGAAAAAUGCGUUAGAUUUAGAAUCUACCCAUUUA